rnacentral:piRNA from 1 species
UGCUGCUUUGCGGACUGGAUUAUU